UCAUGUAUUCUAUUUUAACUUCCAUCAUAAAAAUAUAAUUACCACUUUAACACUUUCUUGAAAGUACUGAAAUUUAAAGACAAAGGGAGAUUAGAGGAAAAUAACUUUGCAAUGUAAAUUAAUGUAGAAAAAAGUCUUACUUCUGUAACAAAUAAGCUCUGUGCUCUCUCCUCUGCAUUGACAGGAACUGUGGAGCAUAUAUAUCGACCUUGCCGCCUCAGGAUGCCUGUCUGUGAACAAAGGCACGUGAAAAGACUGAGUUAAGAUUAUUGCUCCAUUUUUCUACAGGAAGGGAAGAAAGCAACUCAGUCUUCUACCAAAGUCUCUGCAGGUGAAUUAUUCAUUCUUUUAGCCUCUGAGGAGCUUUCAAGAUCCUGGGACUUAGUUUCUCAAUGGAUAUUACAAAGGAAUGGUGGGCUUUCUGGCAUAUCUGUUCUCAUGAAAUGCCUACAUGGUCACACUCAUGGAAGAGGGGCAUAAUCUUUCAAAAAG
rnacentral:lncRNA from 1 species